CCUACGGGUGGCAGCAGUGAGGAAUAUUGGUCAAUGGACGGAAGUCUGACCCAGCCAUGCCGCGUGCGGGAAGACGGCUCUAUGAGUUGUAAACUGCUUUUGUACAAGGGUAAACCUGCAUACGUGUAUUCAGCUGAAUGUACUGUACGAAUAAGGAUCGGCUAACUCCGUGCCAGCAGCCGCGGUAAUACGGAGGAUCCAAGCGUUAUCCGGAUUUAUUGGGUUUAAAGGGUGCGUAGGCGGAUUGAUAAGUUAGAGGUGAAAUGUCCGGGCUUAACUCGGGAACUGCCUUUAAUACUGGUGAUCUAGAGAGUAGAUGCGGAAGGCGGAAUGUAUGGUGUAGCGGUGAAAUGCUUAGAGAUCAGACAGAACACCGAUGGCGAAGGCAGCUUACCAAUCUAUAUCUGACGUUGAGGAACGAAAGCGUGGGGAGCAAACAGGAUUAGAUACCCGUGUAGUC
rnacentral:rRNA from 1 species